rnacentral:rRNA from 1 species
GACGAACGCUGGCGGCGUGCCUAAUACAUGCAAGUCGAACGCAGUUGCGAACGGGUGAGUAACGCGUAGGUAACUGCCUCAUAGCCGGGGAUAACUACUGGAAACGAUAGCUAAUACCGCAUACUGUGAGAUGGACCUGCGUUGUAUUAGAUCGUUGGUGGGGUAAAGGGUCACCAAGGCGACGAUACAUAGCCGACCUGAGAGGGUGAUCGGCAAAACAGGGAACGAAAAAAGGGCAAGACCCCGACGGAGGGCAGCCGUAGGGGAACAUCGGCAAUGGAGGGAAGUCUGACCGAGCAACGCCGGGUGAGUAAAGAAGGUUUUAGGAUCGUAAAGCUAUGUUGUUAGAGUAGCGGUAACUAAACAGAAAGGGACGGCUAACUACGUGCCAGCAACCGCGGUAAUAC